ACUCCUACGGGAGGCAGCAGUGGGGAAUUUUGCGCAAUGGGGGAAACCCUGACGCAGCAACGCCGCGUGCGGGAUGAAGGCCUUCGGGUUGUAAACCGCUUUCAGCAGGGAAGAACCUAGACGGUACCUGCAGAAGAAGCUCCGGCUAACUACGUGCCAGCAGCCGCGGUAAUACGUAGGGAGCAAGCGUUAUCCGGAUUCAUUGGGCGUAAAGCGCGCGUAGGCGGCUUGUUAAGUCAGGUGU
rnacentral:rRNA from 1 species